rnacentral:tRNA from 1 species
GACAAGAUGGCCGAGCGGUCUAAGGCGCUACGUUCAGGUCGUAGUCUUCAUUAUGAAGGCGCGGGUUCGAAUCCCGUUCUUGUUA